rnacentral:RNase_P_RNA from 1 species
ACAGUGGCGCGGUCUGCCGCCGGGUUCCGCAAGGAGCCAGGAGGAAAGUCCGGGCAACACAGAGCAUCAUACUUUCUAACGGAAAGCCGCGGGUGACCGUGGAGUAAUGUAACAGAAAACAACCGCCUGCACCCGCCUUCAGGCACGGCGCAGGUAAGGGUGAAAAGGCGAGGUAAGAGCUCACCGGCCGGCUGGCGACAGUACGGCGUCAGUACAUCUUAUGAGUUGCAAUGCCAAAUAUACCGGCAAUCAAGGGUGGCUCGCCCGUUGCCGGGGGGUAGGCAGCUUGAGCCGCGGUGCAAGCUGCGGUGUAGAUAAAUGGCAGACGCGUGUUACGGAUUCCGGUCCGCGAUGCGUACAUAACCCGGCUUAUAACGCCACUGUCUCU